CCUUCGGGCGCUGACGAGUGGCGGACGGGUGAGUAACGCGUAGGAAUCUGCCUUAUAGUGGGGGACAACGUGGGGAAACCCACGCUAAUACCGCAUACGCCCUACGGGGGAAAGGAGGGGAUCUUCGGACCUUUCGCUAUGAGAUGAGCCUGCGUUAGAUUAGCUAGUUGGUAGGGUAAAGGCCUACCAAGGCGACGAUCUAUAGCUGGUCUGAGAGGACGAUCAGCCACACUGGGACUGAGACACGGCCCAGACUCCUACGGGAGGCAGCAGUGGGGAAUAUUGGACAAUGGGCGAAAGCCUGAUCCAGCAAUACCGCGUGUGUGAAGAAGGCCUUAGGGUUGUAAAGCACUUUCAAUUGGGAGGAAAACCUGUCGGUCAAUACCCGGCAGCUUGACAUUACCUUUAGAAGAAGCACCGGCUAACUCCGUGCCAGCAGCCGCGGUAAUACGGAGGGUGCGAGCGUUAAUCGGAAUUACUGGGCGUAAAGCGUGCGUAGGCGGUUCGUUAAGUCAGAUGUGAAAGCCCUGGGCUCAACCUGGGAACUGCAUUUGAAACUGGCGGACUAGAGUUUAGUAGAGGGGAGUGGAAUUUCAGGUGUAGCGGUGAAAUGCGUAGAUAUCUGAAGGAACACCAGUGGCGAAGGCGACUCCCUGGACUAGAACUGACGCUGAGGUACGAAAGCGUGGGUAGCAAACAGGAUUAGAUACCCUGGUAGUCCACGCCGUAAACGAUGUCGACUAGCCGUUGGUCCUAUUUACAGGAUUAGUGGCGCAGCUAACGCAUUAAGUCGACCGCCUGGGGAGUACGGCCGCAAGGUUAAAACUCAAAUGAAUUGACGGGGGCCCGCACAAGCGGUGGAGGCAUGUGGUUUAAUUCGAUGCACGCGAAGAACCUUACCUACCCUUGACAUCCAGAGAAUC
rnacentral:rRNA from 1 species